rnacentral:rRNA from 1 species
GCAUGGCUGCGCUAGAGAUGCUCCUGGCUCAGUAGAUCGUACAGGUCCCCUAAAGUUUGAUCCUGGCUCAGUAAUGCCUAAGAGUCUGCCUGGUUGUGGGAGAUAACGUCCGGAAACGGGCGCUAAUACCGCAUACUUCCUGAGGGAGAAAGUGGGGGAUCUUCGGACCUCCCUCUAUCAGAUGAGCCUAGGUCGGAUUAUCUAUUUGGUGGGGUAAAGGCCUCUACACACAUCGGCUGCACACGAAUGCCAUAGCUGGUUCCGAGAGUGAGGAUCCCUCACUUCACUGGAACCUGACAGCACGCUCCACGAUCCUCCUACGGGAGUGCACGCAGUGGGAAAUAUUGAACAAUGGGCAAAAGCCUGAUCCCAGCCAUGCCGCGUGCUGUGAAAGAAGGUCUUUCGGAUUGUUAAAGCAUACUUUAAGUCUGGGAGGAAGGGCAGUAAGUUAAUAUCCUUCGCUGGUUUUUGACGUUAGCCAACAAAAUAAAGCACCCGGCUAACUUCGUGCCAGCACCCGCGGGUAAUUACAAAGGGUGCAAGCGUUAAUCAAUAAUAUACUGGGGCGUUAAAGCGCCGCGCACGGUGGUUCAACAAAGUUCGGAUGGUGAAAUUCCCCGGGCUCCACGCUGGGAACUGCAUUCCAAAAUAGCUGAGGCUAGAGUACGGUAGGAGGGUGGUGGAAUUUUCCUGUGUAGCGGUGAAAUGCAUAGAUAUAGAGAAGGAACAACCAGGUGGCGAAGGCCACCACCUGCCACUGAUACUGACACUGCAGGUGCGAAAGCGUUGGGGAGCAAACAAGAUUAGAUACCCUGGUACUUCCACGCCGUAAACGAUGUCGAAUAGGCGGUGGGAUCCUUGAGAUCUUACUGGCGCAGCUAACGCGAUAAGUCGACCGGCCGGGGGAGGACGGCCGCAAGGUUAAAACUCAAAUGAAUUGACGGCCGGCCCGCACAAGCGGGUGGAGCAGGUGGUUUAAUUUCAAGCAACACAGAAGAACCUUACCCGGGCCUUGACAUGCCGCAGAACAUUCCAUGAGAUGGAGUGGUUGCCUUCGGGACACAUCAGACACAGGUGCUGCAGUGGCGUGCUCGUCAGCUCGCGUCGUGAGAUGGUGGGUUAUUAGUCCCGCAACGAGCGCAACCCCUGUCCCUUGUUCAUAUUACCAGCCACUCGGAGAUGGGCACUCUUCAACGAGACCGGCCGAGUGACAAACCGGAGGAAGGUGAUGGAUCACGUUCCACACUCAUCAUGGCCCUUACGGCCAGAGCCUUACACAGCCGUGCUACAUAUGGUCCGAGUACAAAGGGAUGAUGCCAAGCCGCGAGGGGGAGCUAAUCCCAUAAAACCGAUCGUAGUCCGGAUCGCAGUUUGCAACUCGACUGCGUGAAGUUGGAAUCGCUAGUAAUCGUGAAUCAGAAUGUCACGGUGAAUACGUUCCCGGGCCUUGUACACCCCGCCCCUCACACCCAACAAAGGGGCCGUACAGAAUUAUCUUGGCUCAAUAAAUUUAACAAGUGCCGAAGUUACUCCAGCGAGUGGAUUGU